rnacentral:rRNA from 1 species
GGCGCCCCGAGUGGCACUCGCGAUUAUUGGGCCUAAAGCGUCCGUAGCCGGAUUGGUAAAUCCUCUGUGAAAUUGUGCUGCUCAACGGUACAACGUGCAGGGGACACUGCUAGUCUAGGGACCGGGAGGGGUCAGAGGUAUGCCGUGGGGACCGGUAAAAUGGGAUAAUCCACGGUAGACCACCAAUGGCGAAGGCAUCUGACCAGAACGGAUCCGACGGUGAGGGACGAAAGCCAGGGGAGCGAACC